rnacentral:misc_RNA from 1 species
GGGAUAUUUCAUUGAUAACAAAGUGGUUCUCAGGCCCAAUACAAGUAAAGACCUACACGGUCAACAAACAGACCUAAGCCAAAACAAAACCUCAACCCCAGCACAACAGAAAGCCCAACCCCACAAACAAAGAAACCCUGCAGACUUGGGUCUAACUUGAAACCAUAACUUGGUAGAAUCUGGCUCAUCCUACCGCUCAAUUGAAAAACUUGAUUGAUCGAAUCAGCACCAAAAGGAAGAUUGCAAUAUGCUAAAGCGAUAUUGGGGCAUGCACGGUAAGAUCACUUGAAAGAGAGUGUCCUCAGGCUUCACAGCAACUCAAAGGAAACGAGCAAGCAAUUAGGUGUUCAAGGAGAAAUUGAAGAGUACUUCACCAUGGAAGCCAAGAAAACAGAGGAGGUGGUAGAGCUCUGGCCAUCAUUUAUUGGCUUUAAAGGACCGGAUGGCUACUAAAGUGGCACCGUUUUUUCCUGAGAACACCUACACUCCACAUAAGAUCAAAGCUGCAACUAAACAUGCCCAGCAAGUUAAUAAAGAAACCCUCACCCAUAAGCUCUACCUAAAACCAAAGAAAACCCCAAAAAAUAUGUACAGUACCCCACCUGGAAGAGGGGAGGGAGAAUCAAUGUCUGGUUGAGGGAGAGUUGUCCACUACCCGCAAGGGGCAGAGGAUGACCACUGACUGGCAAAAAAACAAGAGCUAUUCUCUGAUAAAAAUGAAACUCCAAAAUAGAGAAUUUUCUCUCUCUAACUUUGAGAUAGAGACUCCCAUCACUGUUAAGUUAAACUGGUAAAGAGUGACUUUGCAAUCUCCUCCGUUAAAUUUGAUGAACUGAUUAAAUUCUAACAGGAAUGUCAUUGUAAAAACCACCUACAUUUAGAUGGGUCAAGCCCAACAGGGAGAAAAUUAUUUAUCAUUUUGAGAAACGGGUUAGAUGUGAUCACAUUUAAA